rnacentral:sRNA from 1 species
CGAUUGGGACGAAGUCGUAACAAGGUAGCCGUACCGGAAGGUGCGGCUGGAUCACCUCCUUUCUAAGGAGCGCCAUCCGUCGAAGGGCGGUAUGGAGCCUCGGUUGCCUGUGUUGGGUGAUGGGGUGCUCAUUGGUCGGAGACACUGGCUAGUUGGUUUUGGCAGCGGUUUGAUGCUCUUGUACACGCUCUCUGUUUGGGGGGUGGGGGAAGGGGUUGAUGAUGCGGCUGGGGCUGGCGUUGGACACCCUGUUGGGUCCUGAAGGAAUGACCGUGUGGUUGUUUCUUGGGCCGUGUGGUCUGUGAUGUCGCCGGUUGGUGGUGUUGCGGGUUGGCGGUUUGCCUGGCGUGGCUUGCUUCGUAUACCGGAUGCUGGUUUUGCCUCCUGUGGGGGGUGGGGUUGGUGUUGCUGGUGCGGGGUGGUGGUUGCGGGUUGGUUGUUUGUUGAGAAUUACACAGUGGACGCGAGCAUCUUUGUGGUCAAGUUGUCAAGGGCGAACGGUGGAUGCCUUGGCACCAGGAGCCGAUGAAGGACGUGGGAGGCCGCGAUAGGCCUGGGGGAGCUGUCAACCGAGCUGUGAUCCCAGGGUGUCCGAAUGGGGGAACCCGGCAUCAGUCAUGUGAUGUCACCUGCACCUGAACUCAUAGGGUGUGUGGAGGGAACGCGGGGAAGUGAAACAUCUCAGUACCCGUAGGAAGAGAAAACAAUUGUGAUUCCGUGAGUAGUGGCGAGCGAAAGCGGAUUGAGGCUAAACCGGCUGCGUGUGAUACCUGUCAGGGG